rnacentral:rRNA from 1 species
UACGAAGGGGCUAGCGUUGCUCGGAAUCACUGGGCGUAAAGGGUGCGUAGGCGGGUCUUUAAGUCAGGGGUGAAAUCCUGGAGCUCAACUCCAGAACUGCCUUUGAUACUGAAGAUCUUGAGUUCGGAGAGGUGAGUGGAACUGCGAGUGUAGAGGUGAAAUUCGUAGAUAUUCGCAAGAACACCAGUGGCGAAGGCGGCUCACUGGCCCGAUACUGACGCUGAGGCACGAAAGCGUGGGAGCAAGC